GGGCGCGUAGCUCAGUUGGUUAGAGCGUCUCGUUUACACCGAGAAGGUCUCCUGUUCGAGUCAGGACGCGCCCACCA
rnacentral:tRNA from 1 species